UAGCUGGACGUAAGGGGACACGGCAGGAUGUACGGUAGCUGAGCUCACUGCACAACGCACAACCGAAGCCGGGUGUUCGAGAAUUUGCUGAGAGAGAGACAGCGUAAACACCAGGAGAUUCGAGCCAUGCACAGCCAGCUGAAGAAGAUUGAAGACUUGGGUGCAGCUAUGGCGGAAGCACAAAUCUUGGACACAAAAUACACCGAGCACAACACAGUGGGUCUGGCCCAGAAAUGGGACCAAUAGGACCAGCUGGGAAUGAGGAUGCAGCAUAACUUGGAGCAACAGAUACAAGCAAGGAACACUACUGGGGUGACAGAGGAGGCUUUGAAGGAGUUCAGCAUGAUGUUCAAACACUUUGACAAGGAGAAGUCUGGACGUCUAAACCACCAGGAGUUCAAGUCAUGCCUCCAUUCAUUAAGUUCCGACCUACCAUUGGUUGAAGAGGGUUAACCUGAUCCUGAAUUUGAGGCAAUACUCGACACUGGAUCCAAACAGGAUCCAUCAAGCUCGCCUUCGAAAAAAAAAAGUUACCCGAGGCCAUCGCUUCCCACUGUUUCAACAAAUGUUACAGGAGAGAGUCUCUCUGACCGGUCAAUGAAGGAAAUCGGAGUACCUGGAGAAAACCUAUGCAGACAUGGGGAGAAAAAUGGAAACUCUUCCGGGAUGCUGAAAUGGAAGGGCAGCAGCUGGAGCUGUGGUGCGGCCGACACAACCUGGAGCUGAACACGCUCAAGACUGUAGAGAUGAUCGUGGACUUCAGGAGGCAUCCUUCACCACAGCUGCCCGUUACGCUGUCCAACUGCCCUGU